rnacentral:rRNA from 1 species
UACGUAGGGGGCAAGCGUUGUCCGGAUUUACUGGGCGUAAAGCGCGUGUAGGCGGUUAGAUUAGCCUGCUGUGAAAGCUCGCGGCUCAACUGCGAGAGGUCGGUGGAAACUGCCUGACUAGAGGACGGUAGAGGGGGGUGGAAUUCCCGGUGUAGUGGUGAAAUGCGUAGAGAUCGGGAGGAACACCAGCGGCGAAGGCGGCCCCCUGGGCCGCUCCUGACGCUGAGACGCGAAGGCCAGGGUAGCGAACAGG